GCAAAGGUUGAGUUGAGAGGAAUGUUGUCUGGCUCGAGGGUCCAAAUUAAAAUGAAUCUUCUCGGACCAGGCUUCAUUCCCCUCAGCCAACCUUUGC
rnacentral:pre_miRNA from 1 species